rnacentral:rRNA from 1 species
AACAUCUAAGUACCCCGAGGAAAAGAAAUCAACCGAGAUUCCGAAAGUAGCGGCGAGCGAAAUUGGACUAGCCCUUAAGCUUUACACGCGUUAGACGAACGGUCUGGAAAGUCCGACGAUACAGGGUGAUAGUCCCGUAGUUGACGACGUGUGUUCAGUGAAAUCGAGUAGGGCGGGACACGUGAUAUCCUGUCUGAAUAUGGGGGGACCAUCCUCCAAGGCUAAAUACUACUGACUGACCGAUAGUGAACCAGUACCGUGAGGGAAAGGCGAAAAGAACCCCUGUGAGGGGAGUGAAAUAGAACCUGAAACCGUGUACGUACAAGCAGUAGGAGCAGGCUUUGUCCUGUGACUGCGUACCUUUUGUAUAAUGGGUCAGCGACUUAUAUUCAGUGGCAAGGUUAACCAUCUAGGGGAGCCGUAGGGAAACCGAGUCUUAACUGGGCGUUCAGUCUCUGGAUAUAGACCCGAAACCAGGUGAUCUAGCCAUGGGCAGGUUGAAGGUUGAGUAACAUCAACUGGAGGACCGAACCGACUAAUGUUGAAAAAUUAGCGGAUGACUUGUGGCUAGGGGUGAAAGGCCAAUCAAACCUGGAGAUAGCUGGUUCUCCCCGAAAGCUAUUUAGGUAGCGCCUCGGACGAAUACUACUGGGGGUAGAGCACUGUUAAGGCUAGGGGGUCAUCCCGACUUACCAACCCUUUGCAAACUCCGAAUACCAGUAAGUACUAUCCGGGAGACACACGGCGGGUGCUAACGUCCGUCGUGGAGAGGGAAACAACCCAGACCGCCAGCUAAGGUCCCAAAUUACUACUAAGUGGGAAACGAUGUGGGAAGGCUCAGACAGCCAGGAUGUUGGCUUAGAAGCAGCCAUCAUUUAAAGAAAGCGUAAUAGCUCACUGGUCGAGUCGGCCUGCGCGGAAGAUGUAACGGGGCUAAGUAGUAAACCGAAGCUGCGGCAAUAUACUUUAGUAUAUUGGGUAGGGGAGCGUUCUGUAAGCGGUUGAAGGUGUGUGGUAACGCAUGCUGGACGUAUCAGAAGUGCGAAUGCUGACAUGAGUAACGAUAAAGGGGGUGAAAAACCUCCUCGCCGGAAGACCAAGGGUUCCUGUCCAACGUUAAUCGGGGCAGGGUAAGUCGACCCCUAAGGCGAGGCCGAAAGGCGUAGUCGAUGGGAAACGGGUUAAUAUUCCCGUACUUCUUACAAUUGCGAUGGGGGGACGGAGAAGGCUAGGUGGGCCUGGCGACGGUUGUCCAGGUUCAAGUGCGUAGGC